rnacentral:rRNA from 1 species
CCUACGGGAGGCUGCAGUGGGGAAUAUUGCACAAUGGGGGAAACCCUGAUGCAGCGACGCCGCGUGAGUGAAGAAGUAUUUCGGUAUGUAAAGCUCUAUCAGCAGGGAAGAAAAUGACGGUACGUGACUAAGAAGCCCCGGCUAACUACGUGCCAGCAGCCGCGGCAAUACGUAGGGGGCAAGCGUUAUUCGGAUUUACUGGGGGUAAAGGGAGAGUAGACGGGGGCACAAGUCUGUAGUGAAAUGUCGGGGCUUAACCCCGGAACUGCUGUGGAAACUGUGCAGCUGGAGUGCAGGAGAGGUAGGUGGAAUUCGUGGUGUAGCGGUGAAAUGCGUAGAUAUUAGGAAGAACACCGGUGGCGAAGGCAGCUUACUGGACUGUAACUGACGUUGAGGCUCGAAAGCGUGGGGAGCAAACAGGAUUAGAUACCCGAGUAGUC